GAUGAAGAACGGAGUGAAAUGCGAUAAGUAAUGCGAAUUGCAGAAUUCAGUGAGUCAUCGAAUCUUUGAACGCACAUUGCGCCCUGUGGUAUUCCGCAGGGCAUGCCUGUUCGAGCGUCAUUUCAACCCUCAAGCUCUGCUUGGUGUUGGGCCCUGCCCGCUGCGGCCGGCCCUAAAGACAGUGGCGGUGCCGCCUGGCCCUGAGCGUAGUACAUCUCUCGCUCCAGUGCCCGGUGGUAGCCUGCCAGAACCCCAACUCUCGUGGUUGACCUCGGAUCAGGUAGGGAUACCCGCUGAACUUAAGCAUAUCAAUAAGCGGAGGA
rnacentral:misc_RNA from 1 species